GACCUGGUGGUGGAGUGCAUCACACCUGUUUGCCUUAUCAGAUUGCUGGUUGUUGUAUUUAUGGGAGUCCCUGGUUCAAGUCCAGGCCAGGUCA